rnacentral:rRNA from 1 species
UACGGAGGGGGCUAGCGUUGUUCGGAAUCACUGGGCGUAAAGCGCACGUAGGCGGAUGUGUCAGUCAGGGGUGAAAUCCCGGAGCUCAACUCCGGAACUGCCAUUGAAACUGUUUAGCUUGAGGACGAGAGGGGUGAGUGGAAUUCCCAGUGUAGAGGUGAAAUUCGUAGAUAUUGGGAAGAACACCGGUGGCGAAGGCGGCUCACUGGCUCGUAUCUGACGCUCAGGCGCGACAGCGUGGGGAUCAAACAGG